rnacentral:rRNA from 1 species
ACUAUAUGCGAUGGAUAUCUUGGCUCUUGAUUCGAUGAAGAACGCAGCGAAAUGCGAUAGGUAAUGCGAAUUGCAGAACUCUGUGAGUCAUCAAAUUUUUGAACGCAUAUUGCACUUCCUUUGGGAGUAUACUUGUUUGAGUAUUGUUUGAUUGGUUUAACUAGAGAUAGUUGAAUUGGGAUAAUAUGUUAUGUAUCCUUGAGGAAAUGAUUUUGUAUGAUGAGCAUUGUAUUUGAUGAGGUAGUUACCACAUUGAAUGGAGUGUUUGUGAUAUAAGAGAUGAGUUGUUGUAAUAGCACAGCAUCUCGUCGGGCUUCGCCCUCCUCGAUAAAUCAAUCUCAAAUCAAGUAAGAAGACCUGCUGAAUUGAAGCAUCUAAUUAAGCAGAGGAAAAGAAAAUAACAAUGAUUCUCUUAGUAACGGCGAGUGAAUAGGGAAUAGCCCAAGCCUGAAUCGACCUAGUCGAGUUGUGGUGUGUAUAGUAUUUGAGAAUGAAUGGUAUUGGAUAUAAUUUGGCUGGAAAGUCAAGUCAUAGAAGGUGAAAGCCCUGUAUAUGAUUCAAUAUUGUUCAAGCAUUGAAUACUAUUGGAGUCGAGCUGUUUGGGAUUGCAGCUCUAAGUUGGUGGUGAACUCCAUCAAAGGCUAAAUAUGAUCAAGAGACCGAUAGCGAACAAGUACCGUGAGGGAAAGAUGAAAAGAACUUUGAAAAAAGAGUGAAAUAGUACUUGAAAUCGUAUAUAGGUUAAGCGAAGAUUGUGUGUAGAUUGUAUUCAAUGUGCUGAUGAUCGUAGAUGAUUGGUUUAUUGUAUGCAAUGAGGGUAUGUGGGUUGCAGGUAAUCAAAAUAUGAUUGCUAACGACCCGUCAUACCCACAUCACACACUCUUCGUCCCGUCUUGAAACACGGACCAAGGAGUCUAUCCUUUAUGCAAGUAGUAUGGUGUUAAACCAAUAUGCAUAAUGAAAGUAAGAGGUGUGAAACUUUUGAAGUGUCAACAUCUGCCGAUCAUAAUUCUUUGAUGAAAGAUUCGAGUAUGAGCAUAUAGGGUGGGACCCGAAAGAUGGUGAACUAUGCCUGAAUAGGACGAAGCCAGGGGAAACUCUGGUGGAGGUUCGAUUGGAUUCUAACGUGCAAAUUGAUCUUUAAAUUUGGGUAUAGGGGCGAAAGACUAAUCGAACCAUCUAGUAGCUGGUUCAUUCCGAAAUUUCCCUCAGGAUAGCUGCAACUUUUGAAAUAGUUUUAUGAGGUAAAGCGAAUGAUUAGAGGUUUCUGGGAUGGAAUAUCCUGGACCUAUUCUCAAACUUUCAAUGGGUAAGAAAUCGGGGAUGUUUAAUUAAUCUCUGAGUUUGAAUAUGAGUUGCAAGUGGGCCAUUCCGGGUAAGCUGGACUGGCAAUGCGGGAUCAACCGAACGCUAUGUUACGGUGCCUUAUUAUUCGCUCAGUUCGAUGUAAAAGGUGUUAGUUCAUCUAGACAGCAGGACGGUGGCCAUGGAAGUCGGAAUCCGCUAAGGAGUGUGUAACAACUCACCUGCCGAAUGAAGUAGCCCUGAAAAUGGAUGGCGCUAAAGCGAAUAACCUAUACAUAGCCAACACAAUUAGGAUUGUAUGGUGUUGAGUAGGAAUGCGUGAUGAAUGUUGUGAAGUAUAUCGUGUGAACGAAUAUGGAACAUUCAUUAGUGCAGAUCUUGGUGGAAGUAGCAAAUAUUCAAAUGAGAUCUUUGAAGACUGAAGUGGAGAAAGGUUCCAUAGGAAUAGUGAUUAUCUAUGGGUUAGUCGAUCCUAAGAGAUAAGUGAAAUCUGUUGAAAGUAUAACAUUUGGUUAUAAGUUAUCGAAAGGGAAUCAGGUUAAUAUUCCUGAACCAAAUAGUAUAAGAAACGGUAACGUAUAUUCCUCUUGAGACAUUUCUAUUAUUCCCAGGAAGAGUUUUCUUUUCUUGUUAACAAUAUUUGAGUGCUUGGAAUUAAUUCAGUUAGCGAUAAGCAUUGAAUAUUGGUAAAGUAGUAUACUAUUGUAUAUUAUCUGGUGCAAUGAUAGGGAUCCUUGAAAAUGAAGAGGUAAAAUCUUAGAAUAUUUGGUCGUACUAAUAACCGCAUCAGGUCUCCAAGGUGAAUAGCCUCUAGUUAAUAGAAUAAUGUAGAUAAGGGAAGUCGGCAAAUUAGAUCCGUAACUUCGGGAAAAGGAUUGGCUCUGAGGGCUAAGUGGAUAUGAGUGUUAGGUAUGUGUUGGUAUGGUAUGAAUGUUGUUUUUGAUGGCUUCGGUUGUUGAGAAUGGCAUUUAUAGUAUUCCUACCCAUCCUGUCACUCUCCCACUAUGAAUAGCUAACUCAGAACUGGUACGGACAAGGGGAAUCCGACUGUUUAAUUAAAACAAAGCAUUGUGAUAGUGUGAAAGAUAUAUUGACACAAUGUGAAUUCUGCCCAGUGCUCUGAAUGUCAAAGUGGCGUAAUUCAACCAAGCGCGGGUAAACGGCGGGAGUAACUAUGACUCUCUUAAGGUAGCCAAAUGCCUCGUCAUCUAAUUAGUGACGCGCAUGAAUGGAU